AGCAGCCGCGGUAAUUCCAGCUCCAAUAGCGUAUAUUAAAGUUGUUGCAGUUAAAAAGCUCGUAGUUGAAUUUCGGGAUCAAUAUGUUGGUCGUGCCUCGGUACGUACUAGCUUAUUGGUUUCUCCUUUCUGAAGAACCAUGAUGUCAUUUAUUUGGUGUCGUGGGGAAUCAGGACUGUUACUUUGAAAAAUUAGAGUGUUUAAAGCAGGCUCACGCUUGAAUACAUUAGCAUGGAAUAAUGAAAUAGGACGUUUGAUUCUAUUUUGUUGGUUUCUAGGAUCGACGUAAUGAUUAAUAGGGAUAGUUGGGGGCAUUAGUAUUCAAUUGUCAGAGGUGAAAUUCUUGGAUUUAUUGAAGACUAACUACUGCGAAAGCAUUUGCCAAGGAUGUUUUCAUUAAUCAAGAACGAAAGUUAGGGGAUCGAAGACGAUCAGAUACCGUCGUAGUCUUAACCAUAAACUAUGCCGACU
rnacentral:ncRNA from 2 species